UUAUUUAUUUUAGCUCAGUUGGUAGAGCAUGAGACUCUUAGAGUCACGGGUUCGAGUCCCAUGUUGAGUGAA